GUGGGACUGCUAGACUACAAGGUACUUCGAGUUGUCAUUGUUCACAGGGACUAUGUGCAGCUUCCUGUACAGGAGGUCACUACUGAACAAGGAGGAGGAAGGCUCCCUUGAGGAAGCAAAAAAAGACUAAACAUUCAGGCUGACCUUUUGGGCUAACCUUAUGGCUUUCCAAACAGACUCGGCACUUGGCUGUUGUGAGUCAUAUUCCUGAGCCCUCAUUUCUUUGUCCACAAGCUAGGAAAGAUCAUGGAAGGUGUCUAGCCGUCUGUCAGUGCAGGAUGAAGACUCCCAAGGAAAGUUUUUUCCCUCUCUGCUCUCACACCAAGGGCAGCAGCUUCUUAGGGUGAGGGAAUGGUGAACACAUUAGGCUAGAGGCUUAAUAGAUGAAACCUCAAACCAAUAGAAAUAGUAGUUUCCUGCUCCACCCUCUGUAAAUACUGUGUUCUUGGAACAAAGUCUUUCCAAGAAGAUCCUUGUGUGGCCAUUCUCACCUGUGUGAAUAGGAGCCAGCACUCACUCUUCCUGAGGCUUUGCUGGAGGUUCCUGCCUGCAAGGAGGCCUGCUUCUCACAAUGGAAGCCCUGCAGGACAGCCUCACCGUAAUCCUUGUCAUCUGGGUGACCUCAUGCAAUGCAUACUGCUAUAUAUAUAGAUUUCUUCCAGGUCAACCAUCUGAUGAAUGCGUGGAUCUUGAUAAUGACAAACACCCCAUCAACUCUUACUGGGAGAAGAACUGUGAGCGCUGUGUUUGUAGAAAAGACAAGAUUUCUUGCUGCAGGCUACAGAACUUACAUGGCUGAGUACUUCAAGCAAAUGGAUUGCCAGGUAAUAUUCCACCCAGGGACCUGCACCUACACUGUGGAACAGAAAGACCCACAAAAGCCCUGUUUUAACUAAGUAGACACUGUGAACAUACUUCUGCUGGGCUCAGCACUCCCAGCCUGAAGGAUAUUUGUAAGCCAG
rnacentral:lncRNA from 1 species